rnacentral:lncRNA from 1 species
AUGUCACAGACAGGAAGGAACAUGAAGAAUAGAAGGUGGCCUCCUGCGGAAAACACAGGAGAACAUGCAGGAGGGAGGCAGCGAGAGAAGCUUGCUGAGCAUGAGUACAUCCAGCAUCGAGGCCAACAGAAGAGGAGAGGAAUGAAUUCAGUGAAUUGUUACCCACCUAGCAAAGUUACAAAGUCAACCAUUUUCCAUGUGUUUGAAGCUGAUGGAGGGAGGCAAGCUAGUGACAGGAUCAUUUUCACUCUGGGAGCUCUGAGGAAGCUGGAUGACGGGGGCCACCCACUUGGCUGACCUAUGAGGAAGCAGCUGUGUGAGAAGCUUCCCACUGAUCUUUUUAUUUAUUUUUGUUCUUUUUGAUUUUUUAACUUUUUAUUAGUAUGUAUUUGUCAUACAUACUGAUCACAUUCAUCAUAGGGAAUUUGAACCAUACAUAAAAUAUCUUAAUUCCUCUUUUUUUUUUCCCAUGCCAAUAAUCUUUUCAGAAAUUUAACUUCUUUUCCUUCCUAGGUAUCUUCCCCAAAGGGUUAAAAUCAACAUAUUACCGGGAUACAUACAUACUUAUGUUUGUAGCAGCACAAUUUAUAAUAGCUAGAUCUUGGAAAUAGGGUUAAUGUCCAUUAAAAGAUAAAUAGAUGAAGAAAAUGAUAUGUGUACUCAGUGGAGUACUAUGCUGCCAUAAAGGAAGAUAAAUUUGAGGCAUGCAUAGGUAAAUGGAUGCAACUUAAGAACUUAAUGUUAAGUGAAAUAAAUCAUAUAUACAAGCUCAAAUAUCACAUGGUUUCUCUUGUAUAAGAAUUACAAAUAAAGAAUAAAAUAGAAGAAAAAUAAAUAGGAAAUAGGAAGUUCAAAUACUUCCCCAAGUUAUAAAUUCCAUUGUUUUAAAAGUGUUUCAAUAUAUAUGCUAAUUGGUUUCAUUUGUACUACUAGUUUAUCUCUUUUUGGUUUAUGUCUUAUACUCUGAGUAACUACUUUGGAGAAAGUGAUACAAAGUGUAAUAACUGUUGCUCUUCCCUUAUUUGAUUAUGAAAUUUUUUUCAUAAAAUAAAGUUUUUCUAAAAAAGAAAUUUAACUUCUGAAUUUCCCGUCUCUUUCCUUUUUGUACAAAAAAAUGAAAGUGCUUUUCUAUUUGUGAUUGUAGGUUAUCAUAGACAAAUAUCUAAUAAAUAGGUAUUUGUCUAUGAACUAAAAUGAUAGUUCAGAAUAUUAAGACCACUUUCAUAUAAUGUAUGAGAUGUAUUAAAUAGCUGCAAAAGCCUGGUUUUGGGAUACAUGACAAUGCUGUCCAGAGUAGAAAAUAAUAUUAAACAACUUUUUCUCUUCUGAAUUUCUUAGGGGAUCAUCAAACUGUAAGUUUUUCUAAGUUAAGACUUUUGAAUUAAUGAAAUUGUCUACAGCCUAAUAUAAACCUAGUGUGUUCCUAUUGAAGAUGUAUACUUAGCCUGUGAAAUAUAUUAAAAUGUCUUAACUAAUUUUUAAAGCUUGUUUUCUCAUUAUGUGAAUUCUUUUCAAGUGAAGCCUCUUAGAGGAGGGAAAUCUAGAAAAUAAAUGAUGCACUUGGAAAUCUUUUCUGAUGGGUUAUUCUUUUAUAUAAUUAUGUUCUUCAUGCUAUCACAAGCACCUGUGCUUUCAACUUUAAAACCCUUCAUUUUCUAAUUUGUGUCUAAGGUAUGUUCUAUUAAAUAUUAUUUGAAAGCUAAGCAUGUGCUACAGAUUUAAUGGAUCUGAACAGAAGGAGAACACAGUUUAAUUUUUCAGUUGCAUUCCCGUGAUAAACACAGAGAAAGCCAGUAAUUUGGUAAAUACAAUAAUGUCUACAUGGGCAUAAAAAAGUAUAUUAUACCAAUAAAGGGUAUGGGACUAUUUAUAUAAUGGACAAGAUGUGCUUCUAGAGCUUUCUCCUUGGAAUAAGUCUACCGUGGUGCUGUGGUGUACACAGGUUUUAAGUAAAACUCACCAUCUCUAACUUUGCGAUAGAAAGACAUUUUUGCAAUAGCACCACAAAAUGGGAAGUGGGCAAUUCAUUUCUGCUUUUAAACAUAAAAAUACAGGAAAUGAAACAUAACUAGCAUCUUUUCCUAUUUCCAGUAUGUUUAUAAGAUGGUCUGACCAUAACAAGAUAUUUUUACAAACAUCAGACCUCUCCUACAAUUUUCUCAUGGCUAUAGUUAUUACAUAUGCCUUCCCUUUGAGGAAAUCAAGAAUGGUAGUAGGCGGUUUAUCGGUAAAAUUUUCUCUUCUCUCUGACCUUCAAAGCUGUUUGAGAAAGUAUGUGGGAAGGGUGAAAAAAGAAUUAAAGUGUUUACGUACGUGUACCAACUCCCCAUGAGGAAUAUAAUCAUUAUGUAGUGC